UGUGCCGCGGCGGCAUCUGUUGGCACGGCGUCGCUGUCAAAUCGUCGGCUUCUCAGGUCCGCUUUCGACUUCCACAGCAACCUCCCAACCUACGCCCGUAAAAUGAUAUCAAAAUAUUGAAUCCUACACCCAACUGCUAAGGUUAAUUUUCCAGACCCUGUAAUAUACGCAAUCUCGCUUCCUCUCCCUCUCUCCCUCUCUUUCCCUGUGAAAUUUUUGCCCUUUUUGAUCCGGAGAACUGAAAUCAUACUGUGUAUAAAUAAUACACCGAAACUGUGUG
rnacentral:lncRNA from 1 species